rnacentral:rRNA from 1 species
CCCUUAGAUGUCCUGGGCUGCACGCGCGCUACACUGGAAGUUACGGAUUGAGAUACUACCUUGUCCGAAAUGGUCCGGGUAACCACCUAAAAGCUUGUCAUAAUUGGAAUGGAUUAUUGUAACUAGUAAUCCUGAACGAGGAAUUCCUAGUAAGUCCCAGUCAACAGCUGGUACUGAUUACGUCCCUGCCCUUUGUACACACCGCCCGUCGCUACUACUGAUUGGACGUUUAAGCAAGAUUUUUAAACACUGACAGUGUGUAGUUCACGCUAUACUACAGUGAGAAGAAGAAGAUCGAGCUUACUUGUCUAGAGGAAGUAAAAGUCGUAACA